GAUGAACGCUGGCGGCGUGCUUAACACAUGCAAGUCGAACGGUGAACGAGGGAGCUUGCUCCCUCCGGAGCAGUGGCGAACGGGUGAGUAACACGUGAGCAAUCUGCCCUGGACUCUGGGAUAAGCGUUGGAAACGACGUCUAAUACCGGAUACGAGACGCGAAGGCAUCUUCAGCGUCUGGAAACAACUUCGGUCCAGGAUGAGCUCGCGGCCUAUCAGGUAGUUGGUGAGGUAACGGCGCACCAAGCCUACGACGGGUAGCCGGCCUGAGAGGGUGACCGGCCACACUGGGACUGAGACACGGCCCAGACUCCUACGGGAGGCAGCAGUGGGGAAUAUUGCACAAUGGGCGCAAGCCUGAUGCAGCAACGCCGCGUGAGGGACGACGGCCUUCGGGUUGUAAACCUCUUUUAGCAGGGAAGAAGCGAAAGUGACGGUACCUGCAGAAAAAGCACCGGCUAACUACGUGCCAGCCGCCGCCGUAACAC
rnacentral:rRNA from 1 species